GAUGAACGCUAGCGGCAGGCCUAAUACAUGCAAGUCGAGGGGUAACAGGGUAGCAAUACUGCUGACGACCGGCGCACGGGUACGUAACGCGUAUGCAACUUACCUUCAACUGGAAGAUAGCCCCUCGAAAGAGGGAUUAAUACCCCAUAGUAUUACGAAGUGGCAUCAUUUUGUAAUUAAAGCUCCGGCGGUUGAAGAUAGGCAUGCGUGACAUUAGCUAGUUGGUGAGGUAAUGGCUCACCAAGGCUACGAUGUCUAGGGGAUCUGAGAGGACUAACCACCACACUGGUACUGAGACACGGACCAGACUCCUACGGGAGGAAGCAGUAAGGAAUAUUGGUCAAUGGAGGCAACUCUGAACCAGCCAUGCCGCGUGCAGGAUGACGGCCCUAUGGGUUGUAAACUGCUUUUAUACGGGAAGAAAACCCUCUACGUGUAGAGGACUGACGGUACCGUAAGAAUAAGGAUCGGCUAACUCCGUGCCAGCCGCCGCCGUAA
rnacentral:rRNA from 1 species